CCUAGCCCUUACGGGCCAGGCUAAAUUAUGCCGUGCUUUCAGCACU
rfam:Lentisphaera araneosa HTCC2155 1101329224568, whole genome shotgun sequence.